rnacentral:pre_miRNA from 1 species
AGGAGGAACAACCGCAGUGGCGGGGCCAGCCCUGGAGCCCUGGAGCCCUGGAGCCCUGGAUUCAGCCCCCGCAGUAACUCCGGAGCUCUCCGUCUGCAGGGCCUGGAGGCUCCGGGGCGGG